GUGGGGAAUCUUGCGCAAUGGGCGAAAGCCUGACGCAGCCAUGCCGCGUGAAUGAUGAAGGUCUUAGGAUUGUAAAAUUCUUUCACCGGGGACGAUAAUGACGGUACCCGGAGAAGAAGCCCCGGCUAACUUCGUGCCAGCAGCCGCGGUAAUACGAAGGGGGCUAGCGUUGCUCGGAAUUACUGGGCGUAAAGGGCGCGUAGGCGGACAGUUUAGUCAGAGGUGAAAGCCCAGGGCUCAACCUUGGAAUUGCCUUUGAUACUGGCUGUCUUGAGUACGGGAGAGGUGAGUGGAACUCCGAGUGUAGAGGUGAAAUUCGUAGAUAUUCGGAAGAACACCAGUGGCGAAGGCGACACACUGGCUCAUUACUGACGCUGAGGCGCGAAAGCGUGGGGAGCAAACAGGAUUAGAUACCCGUGUAGUCC
rnacentral:rRNA from 1 species